rnacentral:ncRNA from 2 species
AAUUCACGCAGUUGUUCAGGUGCCGAAGUCGCUAUUCUGCGAUGAGGUGAAACUGGGAAACAGGUGCGUUUUCACAAACAAACCCUGUGCUGCCCCCGCAACGGUAAUUACGUGUGGUUGAUCCUACACGCCACUGUGGCAUAGCCAUGGGAAGGCGGAUUAACAAAACGUAUGAGCCCGGAGACCGGCCUGAUGAUUCAAGGGAUU